UACGUAGGGGGCAAGCGUUGUCCGGAAUCAUUGGGCGUAAAGAGCGUGUAGGCGGCCAGAUAAGUCCGCUGUGAAAUCUCGAGGCUCAACUUCGAGCUGUCGGUGGAAACUGUCUGGCUAGAGUCCGGAAGAGGAGAAUGGAAUUCCUGGUGUAGCGGUGAAAUGCGCGAUAUCAGGAAGAACACCCGUGGCGAAGGCGGUUCUCCGUGGGACGGUACUG
rnacentral:rRNA from 1 species